CUAGGUGGGUAAGGACUGUAGUCAGCGAAUAUGGGCUGUAGUGGAGGUAUUGCCAGGGCCAUCUUUAACGCGGGGCAAACGGGGCAGCCCAGAGCAGCUGCACCGUGGACCUCGCUGCCCGAGAUUUGAGCAAUCCUCAUGGACCCGGCGGUGUGGCUGCACAGAGCCGCACCAGCCCGCACACGAAGGAGGCCCCUCAGGUGGCCCAUGCACUAAGGGCCACCCGGUGGGUAUGUGUCAGCAG